GAACGCUGGCGGCAUGCCUAACACAUGCAAGUCGAACGGUAACAGGACGCUGUGAUCCCUUCGGGGUGAACUUGUCGCUGACGAGUGGCGGACGGGUGAGUAACGCGUGGGAAUCUGCCUGGUAGUGGGGGACAACCCGAGGAAACUCGGGCUAAUACCGCAUACGCUCUACGGAGGAAAGCGGGGGAUCUUCGGACCUCGCGCUAUCAGAUGAGCCCGCGUCGGAUUAGCUAGUUGGUGGGGUAAUGGCUCACCAAGGCGACGAUCCGUAGCUGGUCUGAGAGGACGAUCAGCCACACUGGGACUGAGACACGGCCCAGACUCCUACGGGAGGCAGCAGUGGGGAAUAUUGGACAAUGGGGGAAACCCUGAUCCAGCAAUGCCGCGUGUGUGAAGAAGGCCUGCGGGUUGUAAAGCACUUUCAAUUGGGAAGAAAAGCAGACGGCUAAUACCUGUCUGUCUUGACGUUACCUUUACAAGAAGCACCGGCUAACUCCGUG
rnacentral:rRNA from 1 species